rnacentral:rRNA from 1 species
UCAAAUUUGAAAUCUGGCCCUUUCAGGGUCCGAGUUGUAAUUUGCAGAGGGUGCUUUGGUGUUGGCGGCGGUCUAAGUUCCUUGGAACAGGACAUCGCAGAGGGUGAGAAUCCCGUAUGUGGUCGCCUGCCUUCGCCGUGUAAAGCCCCUUCGACGAGUCGAGUUGUUUGGGAAUGCAGCUCUAAAUGGGAGGUAAAUUUCUUCUAAAGCUAAAUACCGGCCAGAGACCGAUAGCGCACAAGUAGAGUGAUCGAAAGAUGAAAAGCACUUUGGAAAGAGAGUCAAACAGCACGUGAAAUUGUUAAAAGGGAAGCGCUUGCAGCCAGACUUGCCUGUAGUUGCUCGCCUGGGCUUUUGCCCGGGUUACUCUUCUGCAGGCAGGCCAGCAUCAGUUUGGGCGGUCGGAUAAAGGUCCCUGACACGUAUCUCCCUUCGGGGUUAACAUAUAGGGGGGACGUAAUGCGACCAGCCCGGACUGAGGUCCGCGCAUCUGCUAGGAUGCUGGCGUAAUGGCUGUAAGCGGCCCGUCUUGAAACACGGACCAAGGAGUCUAACAUCUAUGCGAGUGUUUGGGUGUCAAGCCCGAGCGCGUAAUGAAAGUGAACGGAGGUGGGAACCCCUCGGGGCGCACCAUCGACCGAUCCUGAUGUCUUCGGAUGGAUUUGAGUAAGAGCAUAGCUGUUGGGACCCGAAAGAUGGUGAACUAUGCUUGAAUAGGGUGAAGCCAGAGGAAACUCUGGUGGAGGCUCGCAGCGGUUCUGACGUGCAAAUCG